rnacentral:rRNA from 1 species
CACUUCUAAGGAAGGCAGCAGGCGCGCAAAUUACCCAAUCCUGACUCAGGGAGGUAGUGACAAGAAAUAACAAUAAACCGGCUUAUGCCGGUUUAAUUGGAAUGAGUACAAUUUAAACAUCUUAACGAGGAACAAUUGGAGGGCAAGUCUGGUGCCAGCAGCCGCGGUAAUUCCAGCUCCAAUAGCGUAUACUAACGUUGUUGCAGUUAAAAAGCUCGUAGUUGGAUUUCUGUAUUGGUUAGCCGGCCGGCUCGCAAGAGUUGCAGCUAGGUUUAAUCGAUGCAUCUUGUCACAAUAGGCACUGGUAUUUACUUAUUGGUGUUCUGGACUGACUCGUUUACUUUGAGAAAAUUAGAGUGUUCAAAGCAGGCUAUCGCCUUGAAUAUGUUAGCAUGGAAUAAUGAUAUAGGACUUUGGUUCUAUUUUGUUGGUUGUUCGAGGACCGAAGUAAUGAUUGAUAGGGACAGUUGGGGGCAUCAGUAUUCUGAAGCGAGAGGUGAAAUUCUUGGACCUUCGGAAGACAAACAGCUGCGAAAGCGUUCCGCAAGGAUGUUCCCUUUGAUCAAGAACGAAAGUUGGGGGAUCGAAGACGAUCAGAUACCGUCGUAGUCUCAACUAUAAACUAUACCAGCUAGGGAUCGGCCAACGUUAUUUUAUACCGACUUGGUCGGCACCUUAUGAGAAAUCAAAGCAUCUGGGUUCCGGGGGGAGUAUGGUCGCAAGGCUGAAACUUAAAGGAAUUGACGGAAGGGCACCACCAGCCGUGGAGCCUGUGGCUUAAUUUGACUCAACACGGGAAAACUUACCAGGUCCAGACAUAGUAAGGAUUGACAGAUUGAUAGCUCUUUCUUGAUUCUGUGGGUGGUGGUGCAUGGCCGUUCUUAGUUGGUGGAGUGAUUUGUCUGGUUAAUUCCGUUAACGAACGAGACCCCAGCCUGCUAAAUAGCGCGCGUGAGCUUUGCUCGCGGCGAGCUUCUUAGAGGGACUAUGAUGCGCGAUAGCACAUGGAAGUUUGGGGCAAUAACAGGUCUGUGAUGCCCUUAGAUGUUCUGGGCCGCACACGGGCUACACUGGCGCCUGCAACGAGCAUAUCAGCUGGCCCGAGAGGGUCUUGGCUAAUCUUUUGAACCGGCGCCGUGCUUGGGAUUGACCUUUGCAAUUGUUGGUCAUGCAACGAGGAAUGCCUUGUAAACGCGAGUCAUCAGCUCGCAUUGAAUACGUCCCUGCCCUUUGUACACACCGCCCGUCGCUCCUACCGAUGAAUGUUCCGAUGAAAUUUUCGGAGAGCACCUGUGAACUUGGCUCUGCCUUGCGAACGGGAGGCUCAAAGUCACUUAAAUCUGAACAUUUCGAGG